rnacentral:misc_RNA from 1 species
GCAAACUUGGUCAUUUAGAGGAAGUAAAAGUCGUAACAAGGUCUCCGUUGGUGAACCAGCGGAGGGAUCAUUAGAGAGUAUAACAACUCCCAAACCCCUGUGAACAUACCUACGUUGCCUCGGCGGAGGGGACGCCUCCGGGCCCCCCGCCGCCGCUGGCCCAAACCAAACUCUUGUUUUAAUUUGGAACUCUGAAUACAAAAGCAAAUAAGUUAAAACUUUCAACAACGGAUCUCUUGGUUCUGGCAUCGAUGAAGAACGCAGC